GGUAAAAUGGCUGAAAUAUAGGCAAUAAACUGUAAAUUUAUUAAUGAAAUUAUUUUCUUUUAUCA
rnacentral:tRNA from 1 species